rnacentral:rRNA from 1 species
UACAGAGGUCUCAACCGUUGUUCGGAUCCAUUGGGCGUAAAGGGUGCGUAGGCGGUCGGGUAAGUCGGAUGUGAAAUCCCAGGGCUCAACCCUGGAACUGCAUUCGAUACUGCCUGGCUAGGGUACUGGAGAGGAGACUGGAAUUUACGGUGUAGCAGUGAAAUGCGUAGAUAUCGUAAGGAAGACCAGUGGCGAAGGCGGAUCUCUGGGCCGAUACUGACGCUGAGGAGCGAAAGCGUGGGGAGCGAACAGG